rnacentral:rRNA from 1 species
CCUACGGGGGGCUGCAGUGAGGAAUAUUGGUCAAUGGACGCAAGUCUGAACCAGCCAAGUAGCGUGAAGGAUGACUGCCCUAUGGGUUGUAAACUUCUUUUAUAUGGGAAUAAAAUGUUCCACGUGUGGGAUUUUGUAUGUACCAUAUGAAUAAGGAUCGGCUAACUCCGUGCCAGCAGCCGCGGUAAUACGGAGGAUCCGAGCGUUAUCCGGAUUUAUUGGGUUUAAAGGGAGCGUAGGUGGAUUGUUAAGUCAGUUGUGAAAGUUUGCGGCUCAACCGUAAAAUUGCAGUUGAAACUGGCAGUCUUGAGUACAGUAGAGGUGGGCGGAAUUCGUGGUGUAGCGGUGAAAUGCUUAGAUAUCAUGAAGAACUCCGAUUGCGAAGGCAGUUCACUGGACUGCAACUGACACUGAGGCUCGAAAGUGUGGGUAUCAAACAGGAUUAGAUACCCGAGUAGUC